ensembl:lncRNA
UUUUCUGAUAGUUGCAGCAUUGGCAGAUGUAUUAACAUAGCAUUCAGGGGUUUUCCUGGCUUAAAGUGAGCCUUUGUGGGACGAUUAAGCACGUAAACAUGACUGAUCUGUAAAUCGUGACGGCAAAGAAUCCCGUCUCCUGUUCUUUUUGGCCAUGUGAUAAACAAAAGUGUUUUUUAAGCUUGAAAACAUGAAACCCUUUCACAAAGAAUCACAGUCCUAGUGGAAGACCAACCCUUUAACGUGGAUGAUAAACUCAUGUUAAUGAUCUUUUUGAGGGCACAGAUUUGGACAGUGGCUGCUGAAGUGUCAUUAAGCAAGGCACCGAAGUAAACAUCCAAAGCCUGUGUGAAGUGUGUUAACCACCACCGUGUAUCUUUGUGUCCUGGUCUGAACCCCACCGCUGAGCUGAGCUGUUCUGUGGUUACUCUGAAGCAAAAGUGUGUUUUAAAGUGGACCUAUAUAUAUAUAUAUGCUCACUUCAACUGCUGCAGCUUGAUUCACAGUUCAGAAUAAUCCUUUUUUUUAUGUCAUACUGGGCCUCGGUGCAGCCCCUCACCCCUCGCUUUAAAGGUUCGUUUUGUAAAACUUUGUGACUGGCAAGUUGAAAACCUGUCAAAAUGAACAAACUGUCAAUAACAUUUAGGGUUAAAUAGGGCCGUGCUGCAGGCUUAUGCAAUACCACUUUGAACCACAAGAUGGUGCAGCAUGAAACAUUUAAAUCUAAUUCAAGCUGCUUUUAGCUCAGCAUUUGUUCAAAAUUCAUGUUAUUGUCAUAUUUAUGUGUACCAACUAAAAGAGAAUAUAGGUGUAGAAACAUUAGAUUAGUUAAAAGUCAGCUGUUGGGGAUUCACACCCAUACUAAAACGAGUUUGGAAAAUGCUGCCACCUUGUGGUGAAAGUUUUUGUUAAUUUUUUUUAGGGUUUUUACAAAAGUACCUUUAAAGGUCACCCUCCCUUUGAGCUAACUUUCCUCUGCCUCUCACAGAAGGAAAAAACGUCUUUUGUGUCUGAGACAACCAUAUUAGGAACAUCCACUCUCUAUGAUGUCAUCCAGAGCCAAGAGUAAAAAAAGAAAUACUGUCUGAAACUGAGCGUUUAAAACAGUCCUGAGCUUUAAACUGAAAUAAAACAGUACAGGAAAUAACAGAAUGAAAAUCAAUAAAUAAAAGGAACAAAAGCUUAUUUUGAAGCUGCUACCUAAAUGAAUCGGAGGAGAGAUUUAGUUAGAGCUAAAAACUGUGUGUACAGAGUAAGUAAAAUGAGGAUAUGCAUAAUAGGUCCACUUUAACUCCAGUAAAACAGAAAAUGUUAAACGUCUCUACCUGUGCUGUCUGCGGGUGUACAAACACAGAAUAUGUGCUUGAAGUGAUCCUUUAAAUCUCAGUAAAAUGUUUCAUUACCUUUUUUAAUGUUUUUCUGGUUUGUGGUCCUCAUCUGUGACGUCAUUACUUUGACGUACUUUGGUAAAAUUCUUCAUUUUACUGUAGGAGGUGACUCUGUCCUCGCAGCAGUUCAGAGGGGCGGGUUCAGACUUGGUACAGUCCAAAUGAAGGUCAAAUGAAGUCUUUGCUCCCCGCUGUAUCAGAGCCAUAAUUUAUCUGUUUCUCAG